rnacentral:rRNA from 1 species
UGGGGAAUUUUGGACAAUGGGCGAAAGCCUGAUCCAGCAAUGCCGCGUGUGUGAAGAAGGCCUUCGGGUUGUAAAGCACUUUUGUCCGGAAAGAAAUCCUUGGCUCUAAUACAGUCGGGGGAUGACGGUACCGGAAGAAUAAGCACCGGCUAACUACGUGCCAGCAGCCGCGGUAAUACGUAGGGUGCAAGCGUUAAUCGGAAUUACUGGGCGUAAAGCGUGCGCAGGCGGUUUGCUAAGACCGAUGUGAAAUCCCCGGGCUCAACCUGGGAACUGCAUUGGUGACUGGCAGGCUAGAGUAUGGCAGAGGGGGGUAGAAUUCCACGUGUAGCAGUGAAAUGCGUAGAGAUGUGGAGGAAUACCGAUGGCGAAGGCAGCCCCCUGGGCCAAUACUGACGCUCAUGCACGAAAGCGUGGGGAGCAAACAGGAUUAGAUACCCUGGUAGUCCACGCCCUAAACGAUGUCAACUAGUUGUUGGGGAUUCAUUUCCUUAGUAACGUAGCUAACGCGUGAAGUUGACCGCCUGGGGAGUACGGUCGCAAGAUUAAAACUCGAAUGAAUUGACGGGGUCAUAGCUG